UCCGGUUUAUCACCGGCAGUCUCCUUUGAGUUCCCGACAUAACUCGAUGGCAACAAAGGAUAAGGGUUGCGCUCGUUGCGGGACUUAACCCAACAUUUCACAACACGAGCUGACGACAGCCAUGCAGCACCUGUCUCAGCGCUCCCGAAGGCACGCCUCUAUCUCUAAAGGCUUCGCUGGAUGUCAAGAGUAGGUAAGGUUCUUCGCGUUGCAUCGAAUUAAACCACAUGCUCCACCGCUUGUGCGGGCCCCCGUCAAUUCAUUUGAGUUUUAACCUUGCGGCCGUACUCCCCAGGCGGUCGAUUUAACGCGUUAGCUCCGGAGGCCACAGUUCAUGACCACAACCUCCAAAUCGACAUCGUUUACAGCGUGGACUAC
rnacentral:misc_RNA from 1 species